rnacentral:rRNA from 1 species
GAUGAACGCUGGCGGCGUGCCUAAUACAUGCAAGUCGAGCGAACAGACGAGGAGCUUGCUCCUCUGACGUUAGCGGCGGACGGGUGAGUAACACGUGGAUAACCUACCUAUAAGACUGGGAUAACUUCGGGAAACCGGAGCUAAUACCGGAUAAUAUAUUGAACCGCAUGGUUCAAUAGUGAAAGACGGUUUUGCUGUCACUUAUAGAUGGAUCCGCGCCGCAUUAGCUAGUUGGUAAGGUAACGGCUUACCAAGGCAACGAUGCGUAGCCGACCUGAGAGGGUGAUCGGCCACACUGGAGCUGAGACACGGUCCAGACUCCUACGGGAGGCAGCAGUAGGGAAUCUUCCGCAAUGGGCGAAAGCCUGACGGAGCGACGCCGCGUGAGUGAUGAAGGUCUUCGGAUCGUAAAACUCUGUUAUUAGGGAAGAACAAAUGUGUAAGUAACUAUGCACGUCUUGACGGUACCUAAUCAGAAAGCCACGGCUAACUACGUG